UCCUGUGAAACAAGGAUCCUCAAAGCACUGCAUCCCGUCUGAUCUGCAAAGUUAACCAGACUUCGCUAAGUUAGUACCAUGGUGCGACCAUGGAGGAAUCCUGGGUGCUGUGGUUU
rfam:Exidia glandulosa HHB12029 unplaced genomic scaffold EXIGLscaffold_110, whole genome shotgun sequence.